UAAGGACUUGUCAGUUCCCAGUGACCUCCCUCCUCCCCUUCCUCCCCUCCCUUCCCCGCGGAACGUAGGAUUAAGAGCCUUUCGGCGAAAUUUUCGGCCGAAGAAAAGGCCCAAGAAAGUCACCACGUCAGAUGUGGACUCCCAGUGUUAUUCAUUAACAGUUUGUAAAUGAUAAAUAGCUGCCAGCCCAACUUCUGAUUCUUAGGCAACUCCAUUUUACCAACAAACCACUCAUUUUGAUUUGGUGACCAUGCUUUGGGAUUUUCAUAGUUUGAGUAAUUCCUCUGGGCUCUACCACCCAGCAAGUUAAAGAGGACAAGAUUCCUCCCUGGGGAUUGUGGUUCUGGGAAUGUGAGCAGCUUGUUUUCAUGAGAGCUGCACCCAGACGGGACCUACUGUUAGGAGCUGUUGUGUGGGUGGCUGUGUUGUUUUUAGUUGUUUCUUCCAUCCUACACUGUUGUUUAUAUAUAAAGAUUUUUGAAAAGUGAAUGUUUUACAGGGCUGUUUUGCUUAUACAAAGAAAAUUAAAACAAUU